UUCGGGGGCUGACACGGGCCGUCGGGAGAGAGUUGGACAGUGUGAUUAGUUCAGGGACUGACACGGGCCGUGAGGAGAGAGUGGGACAGUGUGAUUAGUUCGGGGACUGACACGGGCCGUGAGGAGAGAGUGGGACAGUGUGAUUAGUUCGGUGACUGACACGGGCCGUGAGGAGAGAGUGGGACAGUGUGACACCCUAAUGGCCACUACAUCAUAAUUCCAUGUACGUGCUGUAAUUGUUAUCUGGAUAUAUGGUUAAGUAUGUAUUCAUUGAGGGCCUCGCUCACUUCCACAGCCUCCAAGCACAUCUUCCCACCUUUAUCUCUAAUCGGUCCUUUCUUCACUCCUGUCAACCUUUGGUUCUUCACAUAAUUGAUGAAUGCCUUGGUGUUUAUAUUUGCCCUACUCCCCAAGACCUUCUCAUGCCCCUUGUUCCUCUCCUCAGCUCCUUCUUAAGCUCCUUUCCAGCUACCCUAUAUUCCUCAAUAGAGUCAUCUGAUCCUUGCGUCCUGAACCUCACGUAUGCUGCCUUCUUCCAUCUGAGUAGAUUCUCCACCUCAAUUGUCACCUGUGGUUCCUUCACCCUACCAUUCUUUAUCUUCCUCACUGGGACAGGUUUAUCCUUAACAUCCUGCAAGAGAUCUCUAAACAUUGACCACAUGUCCAUAGUAUAUUUCCCUGUAAAAACAAUCAUCCCAAUUCACAGCCGCAAGUUCUAGACUUAUAGCCUCAUAAUUUGCCCUUCCCCAACUAAAAAUGUUCCUGUCCUGUUUGAUUCUAUCCUUUUCCAUUAUAAUGCUAAAGGCCAGGGAACGGUGAUCACUGUCCCCCAGAUGCUCACCCACCUACAGAUCAGUGACCUGAUCCGGUUCGUUACCUAACACUAGAUCUGGUAUGGCAUUACGCUACGUCGCCCUGUCAACAUACCGUGACAGGAAUCCAUCCUGGACACACUUAACAAACUCUGCUCCGUCAAAAUCAUUGGAACUAAUCAGGUGCCAAUCAGUAUUAGGGAAGUUAAAGUCACCCAUGAUAACCACCCUGUUAUUUUCGCACCUUUCCAAAAUCUGCCUCCCAAUCUGCUCCUCGGUAUCUCUGCCGCUACCAGCGGGCCUGUAGAAUACCCCCAGUCGUGUAACUGCUCCCGUCCGGUUCCUGAUUUCACACAUACUGACUCAAAUGAGGAUCCUUCUACAUAACCCACCCUUUCUAUAGCUGUGAUAGUAUCCCUGACCAGUAAUGCCACCCAUCUUCCCCUUCCCCCCUCUCUAUCCCUUUGAAAGCACUGAAAUCCAAGAAUAUUGAGAAUCCAUUCCUGCCCUGGUGCCAGCCAAGUCUCUGUAAUGGCCACAACAUCAUAAUUCCAUGUACGUAUCCAAGCUCUCAGUUCAUCACCUUUGUUCCUGAUGCUUCUUGCAUUGAAGUACACACACUUUAGCCCUUCUACGUUACUACCUUUGUACCCUUUAUUCUGUUUCUCUUUGCUCAAAGCCUCUCUAUAUGUUAGAUCUGACUUUACUCCAUGCACUAUACUUGCAGUACUCGCAUGACCUGAAUCCUCCUCCACCUCACUAUCUGCUGUAACGCUCCUGUUCCCCUCCCCCUUCAAAUCAAGUACAAGCCCGCUCCUGUGCCUCCUAAACUUUUCCACUACGCUUCUAGCAUCGAACUAUCCGCAGCCCAGUCGAACAUUAGUCGAACUGUGCUCAACCAUUUGACAAAGGUCUAAACAACAUCUAGCUGCGACAGCUCUCCAGUAUCAGUUCUGGCUCUCCGUAUAUCAACUCCCUUCCACUCCGGUUUAAACCCCCAACCCCAUCCCGUAUGCCACAAGCAAACUUUCCCACAAGGGUAUUAGACCCCUUCCAGUUCAUCGCAAACCAUCUUUUCUACUCAGGUCUCAAAUUGCCAGGGGCGGGGUCCAGUCACCGUUCGCUGUCACUCUCUCUAUAAGAGGAACGGACACUGAAUGAUCAUGGUGUUUAGAAAGGAGAAUGUCUCCGACUGAUUUAUUUGAAGAAAUGGUUUAAGACUCGCAGACAGUUAGGAAACAACUGUGGGCGACGACUGUCCAAACGGUUGAACCGGAUUUCAGCAGAAAGGCCGCUCCCUGUUCUGAGAAAUGCGUACGUGGAGGAACCUGGCCAACAUACAGGGCCGCAGCUUGCACAGAGACAAGGAGCUCUGAGUUUCACAGAAACUCAACCGGCGACGUCCUGCACUUAGGUAGAUCUUCUGAUUCAGAAACCCCGAGCAACACUCACAAAACUCUGAAGAAGCACAGAACAGCACAAAACAGUAAACAGUCGACAUUUCGAGCCGAGAGCUUUCAUCAGGAAUUAACCUUAUUCCUAACCCACAACUCCUAAACCAGCCAAAUAUUCCUCUGCUCAUUGUUUGAAAUGAAGGGUGAAGGCCACUACUUGGAAAUAUGCCCACAAGGAAAUAGAACAUUGUUAAUAUUUUUUCCGGCUUUUCAUUUCCAACCAGACUAUAGCCUGCGGUUUGUAUCAGUGAUCAAGAAAUCAGUAGCUCAGUGAUAAACUUCUUCUCGCAAUGCUUGUGUUUGUAUCCCUGAGGUUGUGUUCAUAUGCUGGGAUUUUUCCACACUUUAUAUCAAGAUUAGGAACUGUUCUAGAAUCAGAAAUAAACGUUUCAUGCGACGGCUGUACAGCCCUAUCCUGCACGAUUUUCAAAAUACGUUACUUCAGGUCUGGAUGAUUGAUAAACACCGGGGUGGAGAGCUAUAAGACCCAACGACAGCGCAGCAGAAAGAGGCUGUUUGGUCCAUUGAGUCUGCUCCGGCAGUUCAUCAUGGCUGAUUCAACAUUUUAUUUGAGGCCCAAACUCCUCCCUACUGCUCGCAUCCCGUCAGUAAAUUAGGAUUAGUGGGCGGCGACUGUCCAACCGGUUGAACCUGAUUUCAGCAGAAAGGCCUCACCCUGUUCUGAGAAAUGCGUACGUGGGGGAACCUGGCCAAAAUUCAGGGCCAGAGCUUGCACAGAGACAAGGAGCUCUGAGUUUCACAGAAACGCAACCGGCAACGUUCUGCACUUAGGAAGAUCUUCUGAUUCGGAAACCCAGAGCAACACACACAAAACUCUGAAGAAACACAGAGCAGCACAAAACAGUAAACAGUCGACAUUUUGGGCCGAGACCUUUCAUCAGUAAUUAACCUUAUCCCUAACCCACAACUCCUAAACCAGCCAAAUAUUCCUCAGCUC